ensembl:lncRNA
GCAGGUUCAAUUCCUGGGUCGGGAAGAUGCCCUGGAAGAGGAAAUGGCAACCCACUCCGGUAAGCUUGCCUGGAGAAGCCCAUGGACAGAGGAGCCUGGCGGGCUACGGUCCAUACAAUCACAAAGAGUUGGAGACGACUGAAGCAACUUAGCGUGGGAGUUUUUAAAGAGCUCCUCAGAUGACUCUAGUCCUUAGCCAGGAGUCCUCUGAAAAAGGAACUAGGAAGCCCUUCUUGAGGGACAUAGAAGUAUGGACAGAUAUCAGUUGCCUGGAUAUCUCCAAGUCUAUUCCCUGAUCAGUCACUGUACUUCAUGUGAGUUAAAACAAUGGCAUGAUCUCAUAUCCCAUUCCAAGAAGGCAAUGGCACCCCACUCCAGUACUCUUGCCUGGAAAAUCCCAUGGACGGAGGAGCCUGGGAGGCUGCAAUCCAUGGGGUCACUAAGAGUUGGACACAACUGAGCGACUUCACUUUCAUGAAUUGGAGAAGGAAAUGGAAACCCACUCCAGUGUUCUUGCCUGGAGAAUCCCUGGGACGGGGGAGCCUGGUGGGCUGCCGUCUAUGGGGUCGCACAGAGUCGGAUACGACUGAAGCAACUUAGCAGCAGCAGCAACUGCUCAGGGGGACCUUUUCGUUUACCAACUUAUUUAAAAUUGCUACUCCCAUCAUUCCAUAUCCUUCCUUCCUUGAUUUAUUUUUCGUUAUAGAACUUUCCAUCCUCUAACAUAAUAUGUAUCCAUUUUGUUCUCACGACUAAAAUAUAAACUUCGUGCUGAGCAUUUUUGCUUUUUUUUUUAAUCAGUAUUAUAUUGCCUGAAACACUGUUCAGCAUCAGCGAUUCACAUUAAUGUGCCUGGAAUGGUUGCAUAGGGUCCCAAACUCAGAGGGGCCCCCUAACUUGGACAACUUGACAACUUGCAGUUGUCAUCUUGGAAUGUUAUUCCUGAGCAUAAUUCUUAUUGAUUUUCUCUUUGAAUUUUUAUUGUA